rnacentral:rRNA from 1 species
CACGUAGGGACCAAGCGUUGUCCGGAUUCAUUGGGCGUAAAGAGCUCGUAGGCGGUUCAGUAAGUCGGGUGUGAAAUCUCCAGGCUCAACCUGGAGACGCCACCCGAUACUGCUGUGACUAGAGUCCAGUAGGGGAGCGUGGAAUUCCUGGUGUAGCGGUGAAAUGCGCAGAUAUCAGGAGGAACACCAGCGGCGAAGGCGGCGCUCUGGGCUGGAACUGACGCUGAGGAGCGAAAGCGUGGGGAGCGAACAGG